GAGGGAGACGAGGUGGUGCAUGGUUGUCGUCAGCUCGUGUCGUGAGAUGUUGGGUUAAGUCCCGCAACGAGCGCAACCCCACGUUUAGUUGCUAACGCGUGAAGGCGAGCACUCUAGCGAACUGCCGUUGACAAAACGGAGGAAGUGGGAUGACGUCAAAUCAUCAUGCCCCUUAUGUUCUGGGCUACACACGUGCUACAAUGGCCGGUACAGACGGACGCAAAGCCGCGAGGUGGAGCAAAUCCUAAAAAGCCGGUCUCAGUUCGGAUUGCAGGCUGCAAUUCGCCUGCAUGAAGUCGGAAUCGCUAGUAAUCGCAGGUCAGCAUACUCGCGGUCCGAAUACGUUCCGGCCUU
rnacentral:rRNA from 1 species